rnacentral:rRNA from 1 species
ACUGAAUAGAUACCCCGGUAGUCCUGGCCGUAAACGAUGGAAACUAGGUGUCCGCGGUAUCGACCCCGCGGGUGCCGGAGCUAAACGCGUGAAAGUUUCCCGCCUGGGGAGUACGGCCGCAAGGUUGAAACUCAAAGGAAUUGACGGGGCCCGCACAAGCGGUGGAGUAUGUGGUUUAAUUCGAUACAACGCGAAGAACCUUACCCAGGCUUGACAUCCCGCGAACCUCGCUGAAAGGCGGGGUGCCCUUCGGGGAGCGCGGAGACAGGUGGUGCAUGGCUGUCGUCAGCUCGUGCCGUGAGAUGUUGGAUUAAGUUCCGCAACGAGCGCAACCCUCGUCGUGUGUUGCCAGCAAUUCGGUUGGGCACUCACACGAGACUGCUGCAGCAAUGUGGAGGAAGGUGGGGAUGACGUCAAGUCAGCAUGCCCCGUACGCCUGGGGCUACACACAUACUACAAUGCACGGGGCAGACGGCGGCUAACCCGCGAGGGGCGCUAAUCCGAGAAGACCGUGCUCAGUGCGGAUCGCAGGCUGC